UCCUGGCUAGGACGAACGCUGGCGGCGUGCCUAACACAUGCAAGUCGAACGGACGAGGGGAGCUUGCUCCCCAAGUUAGUGGCGGACGGGUGAGUAACACGUGAGCAACCUGCCCUUCGGAGGGGGACAACAGCGGGAAACUGCUGCUAAUACCGCAUAAUGUAUUCUGGAGGCAUCUCCGGGAUACCAAAGAUUUUAUCGCCGAAGGAUGGGCUCGCGUCUGAUUAGAUAGUUGGUGGGGCAACGGCCCACCAAGUCUGCGAUCAGUAGCCGGACUGAGAGGUUGAACGGCCACAUUGGGACUGAGAUACGGCCCAGACUCCUACGGGAGGCAGCAGUGGGGAAUAUUGGGCAAUGGGGGCAAACCCCCUGACCCAGCAACGCCGCGUGGAGGAAGAAGGCUUUCGGGUUGUAAACUCCUUUGACGAGGGACGAUGAUGACGGUACCUCGAAAACAAGCCACGGCUAACUACGUGCCAGCAGCGGC
rnacentral:rRNA from 1 species